GCCCUUUCUUUAUUUACCCACUUAUUCAUAAAACAAAGCAGCAUAUAACAAACCUCUGUGAAAUUUUGUCUCUUCCAUACAAACAGAAAUAUCAAAAUGGUGGACGGGAACAAAGGAUUAUCAACGUUUUGCAAGAUUUGAUAGAUGUUUAUGAUUAACGACAUAUCGCUCCUCUUCUAGAAUCUAUCUAAGGCUAAGGUAUAACUCUGCAUCAACUUCGACGUGACAAGACCUGUGGUUAUAAAUGUCUUAUUUUCAUAGGAAUUUGACGUAUAAGGUGACAUUUCCACACUUAGCAAAUUCUGUGUAGAAUUAGCUUGAUCGGAGUCUAUGCUCUAGCGAAUAAUGAAUUCGAUGAUUUGGUCACACCCAGAUAUAAAGGUCACCUUGAGAGUUCGUCUCCCUCCACAACAGAUAAAAAUAGGCCUAAAUUAGAUUUCGCAAAACUUUUGUGAGUGAAGGUCGUGUAAGCAACAAAUACAAUAGAUUCAGUGAAUAAUUAAGGACCUAUAAAGACAUUAAGAAACGAAGUGUCAUUGCAUUGGAAGCAGGCCAGCCCGGACCAUUUUGUCAAGACUUCAAGAGUGUAACGCUAAAGAAGGAAAAAGCAGAAAGGAAACAAUCAAGUUGUGCUGAUGAAGAGAUGAGUUACCACUUACAUCAUGGCCAUGGUGGUUCGAGAAAUAGCUCCCCAUGGCCUGUGUUAAUAGCAAUUGUCGCAUUCGUCAUAAUCACGGGCAUCAGUGUAUACUGCUACUACUACUGCUGCAAGUCCUGCAAGUGCAAGAAACGAAGCAACGACACUGGAAGAUGUCUGCCUCUGGAAGUUUGAGUAGGGUAGCGAUAUAUGAAGAUCAGCGUCACUAGGUUUGCGAGGUGCACCCUACUCGAACUAUAAGUACCUUAAAGCCCAACUCAGGGUUACAGUGCUACAAGAAACUCUACAAAUUGAACAAAAUGGAACUAAAGGCGAAACAUUAGUGGCAACUUGAUUGCCAUAACAAUUUUUGACUAAUUAUUAUAAACAUGAUUAUUUUAAAAUAUUUUUGUUUUUAACUACUUAGUUAUUUUGCGACGAAAAGACAUAGUAAGCAUUAAAACUAAUAAAACACAUCAUCA